UUGUUCUUGUUUGAAUUUGAUUCAGCAAGAUGGUGUUAGGAAUUAGGUUUAUCCAAAAACACGCAUACAUCUCAAGACUAAAGUAGGUUCAGUUGAUCAUGAGGCAACUUCCAUGUGGACAGAUUUAGAGUAUACUAAUUAAGGUCAAACAACUUAAUCAGAUAAUAUACUACUGACAGUCGGAUACAUCGCAUACACUGUCAACUGCAGUGGUUACAGUAUGAUAGAGUAUUUGCAUGUACAACUCGCUACAAGGUCACUAGACAUAAGAUAACUUCUGCAGAAAAUUUGACUACGUGUUCAGUUUAAGGGAAGGGUAGUUAUGCAACUCGCAGAAAUGUUGACUCCACAGAACUCAAUGAAACAGCAAUUAUUCGUAUCGAAGACCUGCCUGGUAUUGCUGGAACUUGGUUGAAGCCAUACGAGACGUCCCAAAGCAUUGUGUUUGAUCUUGUUUAUAAAGAAACAGAACGGUUAGCUGCUCACGGCUCACCUUGCUGCUUUAUCAACACCUGAGGAUUCUAAAACUCUGUAUUUCGCGCUCAACACCAGUUCAUUUUUCGCUGACCAUGAAAAUAUUUACAUUGUUUGGUCGAUCGCUUACUGCUUUACCUGUUCAAAGUUCAUUUGAAUCUUCAGCCACUAGUGGUUCAAAAUGGAACAAAUGUCUGCUAUAAAAUAGUUAUACCACAAAUUUCAGAUCAGAGGAUAAUUAGGAGGUUAAUAACCAACUAAAACACUCCCUAAAUAUAGCAAAACUAUCUCUUCCAUUCAGUAUUAAAGUACUAACUCUAUCUUCAUCAAAAAGUAAUAGAACAUUGUAUCUGCACGAACUUCUGCGUCUCCUUGUAACAUCGAAGAGACGCAGAUUUCUUGAGUUUCUCGUUCACUUUUUGUCUUUGUUCUAGUUCUAGUAAAUCAGAACAAUGGCACCAAGUGAAGAUCGAAUUGAAGAAACUGCGUCAAAGAUGGAGGAAGGUAGCACCUCUCAAAAAUAUGAGGAGGAAGAGUCAGAUUAUUGUUCUUCUAAAGCGGCCAUAAGAUUUUCACAAAAGGUAAUUUUGUAACGAAACAUACUGUAAAGUCCUUUUGUGUACAAAAAGUUCCUUCUGCAAGUUUAUACAUCAAUAUGUUCUAUAGAAAAUGGUAGAUCAGAUCUUAAGCAUUUCUUCCUGUUUUUGUAGGUAAUGGCAGAGGUGUUUGGGACCUUUUUUCUAAUUUUCGCCGGAUGUGGAUCAGUAGCCAUUAACAAGAUAUACGGAGGACAAAUCACAUUCCCUGGAAUCUGUGUAGUAUGGGGCCUGGCUGUUAUGGUCAUGGUAUAUGCUGUAGGUCAUAUCUCAGGUGCUCAUUUCAAUCCGGCCGUCACCAUGGCUAUGGCAUUAUUUCGACAAUUUUCACCAAAGGAGGUGCGUCUUUUGAGUAUAUACAUAUGUUUGCAAAUCAAACCCAGCAGUUACGUAGAAUCUAAAUAUAUUCAUUGUUCUGGGAUCUUAAUGUAAAUAUUUAAUUUGUUUUAUUGCAGGUAAUUCCUUAUAUUGUAGCCCAGCUACUGGGAUCUUGUCUUGCUAGUGGCACGUUGGUCCUUGUAUUUGACAUAGAAAUGGAGGACUUUUUUGGAACCAUUCCAGUAGGACCCAGUCUGCGGUCUUUUAUCCUCGAGAUCAUCAUCACAUUUUUCUUGAUGUUUGUCAUCUCAGGCGUUGCUACUGAUAGUAGAGCGGUACACAACUCUAUACCACACACUCAAGUCCUUUUUCCAUGAAAUGUUCGAUGAAAACGAUUUUUUAACUAUGCUAUAUUAUCAUUUUGCAGAUUGGAGAAUUGGCAGGAAUAGCUGUGGGAAUGACAAUUAUGGUAAAUGUGUUUAUUGCAGGGUAAUUAUUCGUGCUCAUACUUUCUUAAAUGGCCACUCUUCGUCGUUGAAAUUUUUUACCCUAUUCUUUCGUAAAUGGCCACGUUGAUUUAUCUAAAAUGUAGAAAACCUAAUCAGUCGUAAUCUAUUGCAGACCUGUUUCUGGAGCAUCUAUGAACCCUGCGAGAAGUCUUGGGCCAGCAAUUGUAAUGCAUCAUUAUAAAGGAAUAUGGGUUUACAUUGCUGGACCAAUCAUUGGCGCAAUUGCAGGUGCUUUUGCUUACAAUCUAAUCAGGUUUACAGACAAGCCUCUCCGUGAAUUGACGAAGAGUGGAUCUUUCAUUAGCAGCAUGUCAAGAAGAGUUGCUCACUAGACAUGUAUAUAGAAGUGAUCCAUAGCCUGUAUACUUGGUUUUUUUCAUCUUUGUGUAUAGAAGGCAGAUUGUGUAGGUUUUACCACAGACAAAGGUUCUAAUCCAACACCAUUAACUAGCCUGGGGAGAAUGAACGUAGCGACAAAAAUGUGAAGAGUUCUUGUAAUUUUUCUAGUAACCUUCAUUUUGUUGAAUAUUAAAAUUUACGGUUGGUUGCAAAUUCUGAUUGGUAUAUUCUUCAAAAAAAAUUUCUUUUUCUCUCUUUUUCCUUAUGAAUUAUGACAUUACACAUAUAACAUUUCGUGGACGCAAUUUGACUAAAAUGUGUUUAUAUAAGUUUAUAUGAUAGGGAAAAAUUAAACUGAAUAUGAUGUAUCGUGCUAUACUGGUAAAUCUACUGAUAGUUGCAGAACAAAAUAUUACCUUGUAUGCGUAACACCUCCUUCCUGGACCUAUGUGGUGGAUGGAUGCCUUCUGCGAGAUAAUAACCGGUAAAUUAAUUUAUGGAAUUGCGACUACUAGUUCUCAUGCAUGCUGCAAAUAACCAGGCUGAAUUUCAGCAAAAUGAAACUAAAUGCAGGACUUUCCAGUUCAAGAGAAGACGAGUUCAUCUGGACCCAGCAAC
rnacentral:lncRNA from 1 species